rnacentral:rRNA from 1 species
GAUUUCUGGUACGGCGCACUUGGCCCGCCACGGUUACGUGGUUGUGUGCCGGUGUGCGCCUGCCAUCCAUCUGGAGAACGGCUCCGCCCUUUACUGGGUUGGUGUCGGUAUCCAGAUCUUUUACUUUGAAAAAAUUAGAGUGUUUAAAGCAGGCUUGUGCUAUGAAUACAUUAGCAUGGAAUAAUAAUUUAGGACUUUGGUCUUAUUUUGUUGGUUUCUAGGACUAAAGUAAUGAUUGAUAGGGAUAGUUGGGGGUGCUAGUAUUCAGCGGCCAGAGGUGAAAUUCUUGGAUUCGCUGAAGACUAACUUAUGCGAAAGCAUU